rnacentral:lncRNA from 10 species
GCUGUGGGACUUCCAGGAGUCCGAGUCCCAUGCUCUGCCUCUGAGGCUGGUGGCUGGGGUAAAGCUGGGCAGGGCUGAGCCAGGCAGGGCUGUACUCAGGCUCCCCAAUGGUAGGUACAAGCAACGGCCAUAACAUGGAUCAGAAGGCAGUGCUCAGGCCACUGGGGCAAUGCUUCAAGGAGGAGCAUAACAACUUAUUUUGUGCCAAAGAGUCAGCAUGGGAAAAGAGAAGCAGUUUGUGUUCCACAACCUAGCAGAUGGUAGUGACACCUGCCUCACUCCCACACCCUUGACCCAGCAAGGCUCCCUCCCAUAACCCACUCCUGGCAGCAAGCUGAAACAGUAAGUCAAGACACAAGCAAUCUGUCUUCAGAUUACAAAACUGUCCUAUGCCACAAAACUCCCUGCCAGGGACAAAAACUUGGACUCCCAGGCCACACCCCUCCGACUCCAGUCCUGCAUCCUGCAGUGGGACUGCCCAACGCUUAUGCCCGUGUUUCAAACCCAUGCUACACUCAUCUCUCAGAUCUGGCCAUGGGGCUCUUCCUCCUCUUAAGACUAGAUUGCAAAUCUCAUUCUUGAGAUUCUCUAAACCGAUGACUAAUGCUUGUUCUGGAUGACAGAUUUCCGCACAGCCCCCUAUGAGUUAAGAUCAGGAAUGAUCUCCUAUUAGCAUCAAGGUCUGGGAGCAUGUGCAAAGUACUUCCUGCUGCCUCUUCUCACAGUCUCUUCACUGAUCCCAGAAUUGUAUCAGUUGGAAGAGUCAAGGAGCUCCUCUGUGGCCUGGAUUGCCUGACUCCCAAGUGGAAAUGUAUACUGUGAAGAUACUCUUCCCCUCUCAGGAACUUGGAACUCACAGUUUUCCGUCAGACCCACAGUGUGGUCUGCUGCCCACCAUAUUUUUCAAAGUAUCCAAAGUUUGUUUCAUUUUUAUGUUGAGCUUCCUAUUCUUUCCUUGAUCACAAUGUGAAUCUCUGCACACUAUUUUGCUAUUUCCAAGUGAAUGAGGUUCGCUAACAAAGCCUCUAUGCCUCCAUCUUGGAGAAAAAAAAGCUAAGUAUCGAUAUAUUUUGUUUUCAUUUUUAUUUACUUCAAAAUUUUAAAUUUUUACUGAGACUUCUAUUUUGACCUCUCACUUAUUUAGAAAUGUGUCAAUUUUCAGAUAUUUGGAGCUAUCUCAGUUAUCUACAUGUUACUGACUUCUAUUUGAACUUCAUUGUAGUAUGAGAACAUACUUUGUAUUAAUUCUAUUAUUUUAUAUUUUUAAGAUGUCUUUUAUGGCCCAAAUGUGGUCAACCUUGAAGAACGUUCCAUGUGAUCAUGAAAAAAAUAUAUAUAUAUUCUGCCAUUGUGGAUGUACUUUGCUAAACAUGUCAACUAGAUAAGUUAGUGAUAGAGAUGUUCAGUUUAAAUAUAUUUUCAUUUUCUGCUUGUUGCAUCUGUCAAUUACUAAUGGGUAAGUGCUGAAAUCUACAGGUAUAAUAGUGCCUCUGUUAGCCUAUUUCUCCUUCAGUUUUAUCAAUAUUACUGCAUGUAUUUUAAUGUUCUCUUGUAUGAGGCAUACACAUUUAGGAUUGUUAUGUCUUUUUGGAAAAUUAACCCUUUUAUCAUUAGAUAAAGCUCUGUAGCCCUAAUAAUCUCUAUCUUUCCUGAUGUCUGCUUUGUCUGAAAUUAAUGUAGCUCCUUUGCUUUCUUUUGAUUAGCACUUUGUGUGUUUAUCUUUUUACUUUUAACCCAGAUGUAUCUUUAUAUAUUUAAAAUGGGUUUCUUGUAAGUGACAUAUAGCUAGGUUUGGUUUUGUUAUCCUCUUCAACAAUUUCUAUCUUUAACUGGUAUAUUUAGAACAUUAACAUCUAAAGAGAUUAUUGAGUGAUAUAGUUGGAUAACUAUCUACUAUGUUUAUAACUGUAUUCUAUUUCUUGUAGUUUUUUCCUAGUUUAUUUUUUCCUUCCAAUUUUUCUGAAUUCUGUGAUUUUAACUGACCAUGUAUAAUAUUUAAUUUAUAUCAUAUAUUAGUGUAUUAAUUGUACUUCUUUUUUUAAAAAAAAAAAUGAUCACUGUAGAAUUUACCAAAUAAAAUGUAAGUUAAUCUGUCUUUACCUCAAACAA